rnacentral:tRNA from 1 species
GCUGUAGCACAGUAGAAGAAACUCUGCUUUGCAUGCAGAAGGUCCCUGGUUCAAUCCCAGGCAUAUCCC